rnacentral:tRNA from 1 species
AGUUAUUUAGCUUAUUUAAAGCAAUUAUUUUGAAAAUAAUAGAAAGGUUAAAACUUAUUAACUU